UACGGAGGGUGCGAGCGUUAAUCGGAAUUACUGGGCGUAAAGCGCACGUAGGCGGCUGCAUAAGUUGGAGGUGAAAUCCCCGGGCUCAACCUGGGAACUGCUUUCAAAACUGUGUGGCUAGAGUACGGUAGAGGUGAGUGGAAUUUCCUGUGUAGCGGUGAAAUGCGUAGAUAUAGGAAGGAACAUCAGUGGCGAAGGCGACUCACUGGACUGAUACUGACGCUGAGGUGCGAAAGCGUGGGGAGCAAACAGG
rnacentral:rRNA from 1 species